rnacentral:hammerhead_ribozyme from 1 species
GCACCGCUGACGAGUUCCAAACAGGACAAAACAGCUGUCCAGUGC